GGGAUGAUAUAUAGAAGGCCGGACUCGACCACGUGAUUCCGUAUUAAUAUAUUAAAUAAUAAGGGUCUUAUUACAUUUUAAUAAAUUUUGGUCGGUAUUUAGCAAAUUAGAUUGGUAUUUAAAAUAUUUCCAUACAUUCACUUGGUAGUAAGCAUCAUUAACCCCAUCAUGUGCGGGUAAAGGGAUAUUUAAAAACAAUAUCUUUCAUGUAUCCAAACAAUACACUGUUCUUGCCUGCUUAGAAAGUUUAUCUAAAAUAUUUUCUCCAAUCAUUUGAGACCAUAACCAACCCAGAAUAUAUUGCUAAUAUGCUAUCUUGUUAACCUGGAAAUUUUCUUCUUAGAAUAUAAUGCUAAUAUGCUAUUUUGUUAACCUGGAAAUUUUCUUCUUAGCAUCAAUUGAUAUAAUCCAUUCAGGAACUCCAACUAAUCAAGCAUCACUUGAUAUAAUCCAUUCAGAAACUCCAACCAACCAAACAUUACUUGAUAUAAUCCAUUCAGGAACUCCAACCAACCAAAGAAAAUUUAAAAUAUGCUAUCUUGUUAACCUGGAAAUUUUAAUCUUAGCAUCAUUUAUAAUCCAUUCAGGAACAAUUAAUUUUUUUAAAGCAAAAUGCCCAAUAUAAAUUUAUAAAAUCUAAAUUUAAUAAAAAAUCUACUAUUUUCUAAUAAUUAUUUAUAUUCUCAAAAUAGAGAAAACUAUUAUAUGCAUACAUAAAUAUUUAUUAAUUAUUAGGUUUUUACCUAAAA